GACGAACCGAGCGAACGUUGUUCGGAAUCACUGGGCUUAAAGGGCGCGUAGGCGGGCUGCCGCGUCCGGGGUGAAAUCCUCCGGCUCAACCGGGGAAGGGCCUCGGGUACGGGCGGCCUCGAGGGGGGUAGGGGCGUGCGGAACUGUGGGUGGAGCGGUGAAAUGCGUAGAUAUCAAGAGGAACACCUGAGGUGAAGACGGGUUGCUGGGCCGACACUGACGCUGACAGCGCGAAAGCCAGGGGAGCAAACGGG
rnacentral:rRNA from 1 species